rfam:Ochrobactrum anthropi ATCC 49188 plasmid pOANT03, complete sequence.
UGUCAAGAGUCAUAGCGUCAUUUUGGCGGGUGGAUUUCUUUUGCCUUUCGAAAGGUAAGAGGAAAUG